GGUACCGUGGCUUAGAUGGAUAAAGCGCCUGUCUAGUAAACAGGAGAUCCUGGGUUCGAGUCCCAGCGGUGCCU
rnacentral:tRNA from 2 species